rfam:Callithrix jacchus chromosome 2, whole genome shotgun sequence
AUCUAUGACCAUGCCACCCUCAAUAUACCUAAUCUCAUCUGAUCUCAGAAUCUAAGCAAGGUUGGGCCUGGUUAGUACUUGGAUUGGAGACCAAAGUGUUGGGAUGAAGUCAGGAGCCACCGUGC